rnacentral:rRNA from 1 species
UACAGAGACUGCAAGCGUUAUUCGGAUUCACUGGGCGUAAAGGGUGCGCAGGCGGCCAGGUGUGUUAGGCGUGAAAGCCCGGGGCUUAACCCCGGAAUUGCACCUAAAACUACUUGGCUAGAGCAUUGGAGAGGGUAGCGGAAUUCACGGUGUAGCAGUGAAAUGCGUAGAUAUCGUGAGGAAUCACAGAGGCGAAGGCGGCUACCUGGACAAUUGCUGACGCUCAGGCACGAAAGCGUGGGGAGCAAACAGG